CCGCAAGCCUCCAGCGGGCCUGGGUCUGGAGUGACCCAGCGCAUUCCUGUAGCCAGAACGGUUUUGAAACAGUUUGAGGCCUUGCUCAGCACCAUCCCUGGGGCGAGGUUGUAGACAUUUCAGACAGAU